rnacentral:lncRNA from 1 species
UUAGAAAACAAAAGAUUGAAACACCAAAAAACAUAAAGAAAACCCAAAGUAACGAAGAAAAAAUUUAAACAAAAGACUCCCUCUUGGAUUCUGUACUUAAAAGGUACUGUCAGCAUCUCACUCUUGGGAUCCUAGCACUAAAUAUGAGAAACACACAACACAAAUCUUUUUGAGGAAAAAGCAUAUGUGCAAAGAGCAAACACUCUUUUUUUUUUUAAUCUUUAUUUAUUUAUUUUUAAUUCCACCAAAAUGUAAGAUGGAGAAAAAAAAUAUAUAUAUACAGUCCAGAAUUAGAAAAACACACAAAAACAAAG